rnacentral:lncRNA from 1 species
AUCUUUCCACUUGGAGUUUGACCAUCUUGCCUGCCUUUCUUUUUUUGAUAAUGAUUGCAGAGUAGAAGCUACCUAAAGUUCACAGGGUGCUCAGGACCGAAAGAAAUUGAAGGUGUUUGCUGAUGUUGUGACAGCUCUCUCGCGAACCUGCCUGGACAAGAGACAGCUUCCCCAGAUGAGUUUUCGGAAGACUGGAGUGUGCUGAGACAAUGCAACAGCAUCCCUCGCCCUUCAAAGGCCACGUCAUGCUGGCAUUUAGGUUUUCUUGGUACUUGCCACCAAAGCACUCACAGCAGUAGCGAGACUGACAGUCAUGUAUCUUAUGAACAUCCAGUUACUCUGAACACAUCUGAAAGCUCAGGCAGAAAGAACAUGAUGAUACUCUACGGUUGGCAUUUCCAGUCCAGUAACUUCAACAGAACAAAGCUCACAAGGCAGGUCAGAACUGACAAUGAGACAACUUGAUAGCUUUGGGAAAAUCCGAAUGGGCCUGAAAAAUAAUGAGGGGCCAUAUCUACAUUUCUGCAUCAGAUCAACAUUUAAAAGGCAUUUGAAAGAAUAUUUUUAAUGAAAAUAUACUUGCAGAAUCACAGCAGAAAAGAGUUUGAGGGAAGUGACUUGUGCCAGAACUUGUAAUACUAGGUUUGUCCACUGUUGCCAAUAAAAUUCCAAUGCCAAUAAAACACAUCUCAACUUUUCUAAUCUUUCAUCUCAGACUAAUAUUGUCAUUAUUGAAAUUUGAUUUUAAGAGGGUUUAAAAAAACCCCAAGAAUGUUUUAUUAUGAAGCCUUUAAUUUGGGUCUGUUGAUGAUUUUCUCUGCAGCAAACAUUACAGUAUAGAUAGAACAUAUAUCUUGAAAUCUAAGUACUAACUCUUUUACUAUAACAUUUGUUCUCCUCACCACCACCACCUUCACUUUUUUAAAUACCUCAUUAAUUCUGGAAGCUAUUUGUUGCAGGAGAAGACACAUUAGCAUCUUUACUCAUAAAAAAGGGCACAGUUUAUAUGCUACAGAUUUACACACCGGGAUGAAGGUUAAUUAAGGCUAUCAUUGAAAAACAUGCUCUGAGACCUUGUACAGCAAAAUGUGAAUAAAGCUCAUGUAAUUCUAGGUAUUUCCUGCAUGUGUUUGGUGUAUAUAUUCUGCUAGAUUGAAGAUAUCUUUUGGUAAUUUAUUAAAAUUGUCCUUGAGGAUAUCAGUAAGUGCCUUUAUGAGAAAGCCCGUCACAUUAUGAUAGGAAGGAAAUACUGUUAUUGUAUCCUCAGGUAAUAUUCUCUAGUUAUUAUGCACUAAAAAUAGAUGCAUUUAUUUCCUCUUGUUUUUAUAUUUCUUCUGGGAAAUAUUAUCCAAACCAUUUGAAGGAAGUCAUGCUGAUGAGUAAGAUGUAUGAAAACAACCAGAACAAAAUCUAGGCAAUAUCUAAAAAUAUUCUACCACUUUUUUGUCAUAUUAUUUCCAUCUGUUCUCUAACUUAAAAUGUGAAAACAUCGAAUAUGGAGACAGAAUGCACUCAGGUGCUUUAGCGGAAAAAAAGUGCACCCCAUACUUUUGGCUGAGCUGCUAUGACUUAUCAUGGAUUAGUUGACUCUGAGGGUCUUUGUCAGAAUUAAGAACUAACUCUAGUCUUAUGUAUGCUUAAUGAAUCUGAUGAGGAUUAUUCCCAAUAACUAUGCAUAAUAUUAUAACUUAUCUUUUCAAUAAACUGCAACAAAAGCUCAGCUUAUAACUUAUCUUUUCAAUAAACUGCAACAAAAGCUCAGCAAAUCAGUUUCUUUUACCUUCAUUUCUUUGUUUUCUUUUUUAAAAAAAUGAAUGACUGAAGAAACUUAAGGGGCCCCUGGUGGCUCUGAGCUGCUGAACUUGCUGACCGAAAGGUUGGCAGUUCGAAUCCGGGGAGUGGAGUGAGCUCCCGCGAUUAGCCCCAGCUUCUGCCAACCUAGCAGUUUGAAAACAUGCAAAUGUUGGUAGAUCAAUAGGUACCAUUCUGGUGGGAAGGUAACAACACUCCAUGCAGUCAUUCCAGCCACAUGACCAUGGAGGGGUCUUUGGAUAACGCCAGCUCUUCAGCUUAGAAAUGGAGAUGAGCACCAACCCCCAGAGUCGGACACAACUAGACUUAAUGUCAAGGGAAACCUUUACCUUUACUAAAGUCCCUUAUUUUGGACAUUUUACAAGCUUAAUUAGUGAUCCUCUGUAUUUGUGUCUGCAUACCUUAUUAUAGUAUUUUAACCGUUUCUUACCAUUUCUGAAUAAUGUCAACUUUUAUGCUAUUUUAGUGGUACAUAAGUGAACAUUCCAAGGGAUAUGAAAAGAUGUAGUUGGAUUUGACAGUUUCAACAAAAGUAUUUUUUUUUACAACUUUCAAUACUCACCUUAAGAUUUUGCACUUAUAUGACAGUGAAAAGAAAAUGCAUACAAAACAAUGUCCACGGGUUACCAUAUGAAUAGACAGAAUGUGCACAAAUGUAAAGAUAUGCACUGGCACACUUUAGUCAGUAUGGUGUAUGUUAGUAAAGUGUGAAAAUAAUGCACACAUUAGGAAAAGGAAGGUAAAAGUAUAUACAUUUAAUACAAAAAUUAAAAACAUGAACUUUUUCAAAGUCAUGAAAUAAGUAUGGGAAUAAAUGAAGUUGGAACUGGAAAAACAAGACAUGGAAAAAUUCUCAUCCCAGCACUUUACCUAUUAAAUGCCCAUCUUUUCUGGUAGAACAUCCAAUUGAAGAAUGGGUAACCAACCACCUGAUGCCAGGAGGAACUGCAGAUUUAUUUUACUUAAAAGAAACUGAAAUAUCACAGUAACAAAAUAUUCUUGCUAGUAUUUUUGCACUCACCAUGCUAGUGGUUGUAUUUUUCUAGGGUGGCAAGAGAAGGCAGACAAAAAUGCCAGUCCUAGAGAACCCAUUUCUCCAAUUCCUUAUAUACUCUGUGGCCAUGAGCCCACAGCUUUUUUCUUCCUUAUACCAAACUACACCAGUAACGUUAUGGUAGCAUAAUACCUCACAAUAGGGUUCCAGCCUCUGACUUUUGUAUGAAUUGAGUGCCCAGUUGGACUUUUUUCCUAGAAAAUACCAGUAAUAUACUAACACUACUAUCAUAUGCACAUUUCGCUUGGAGUAAUUGCCACUUCAGAGUUAUUUUCUAAGUAGAUAUGUAUGGGAUUGCACCAACAACAUUGCUUCAAACUUUCUUAUUCCUGUUGUGUAUAUCUUUCAAGUCAUUUUUUUAGUUAUUGUGACCCUAAAAUAAACCUAUCUCUGGGUUUUCUUGGUAAGAUUUGAGCAAAAAAAAAAAAACUACACCUUUGCCUCUCUCUGAGGAUGGAAGAAUGUGGUUUCCCCAACAUCACCCCAAGGGUUUCUGUAACUGAGCAGAGACUUGAACACUGGUCUCUAGAAUCAUCGUCCAGCAUGCAAAUCACAAUACCAUACUAGUUCUCAUUUGGCUUGCCAUUUCCUAUUUUACCUUUACUUAAAAAGUACAUUUACUUUAAAUUGUUUGAAAAGUAAAUCGAGAUAGUUUGCUAUACUUUACACAGCCUUCAGACUGUUCCAUUGACUAAUCUGUUGAAAAUGCAUCCACGUUCUCUGCGUUCCAUCUCUCCUGCACAUUUUGGAAUAGCAUUGAAAUGGGGGGGAGGGGGUUGGGUAAUCUUUCCCAUUUGACCAGCACUGUAUCAGAAGUGAAAGUCCCUAGUGGGUGAAGACCCUAGUGGGUGAAGACCCUAGUGGGUGAAGACCCAGGUAUUUAUCACUGUCCUGAAUGGAUGGAAUCCCACCAUGAUUCAACUCACGUAUCUCUAUGUGACUGUCCAGAAAAGGCUGUGAAAUGCAUAGUUCACAGAAAUACCUAUCUUUCAUGCAAAGUGUUUACAGAAAUGGAAAAUGGUAGCCUAUUAUUUCCACAGAGUGUAAGUUUCAUAAUCUAAAUCAGGCAUGGGAAAACUUUGGCCAUCCAGGUAUUUUGGACUUUAACUCCCACAAUUCCUAACAGCCUACUGGCUGUUAGGAAUUGUGGAAGUUGAAGUCAAAAACACUUGGAGGGCUGAAGUUUGCCCAUGCCUGAUCUAAAUGGUGCUAUAGUCUUGUCAAAUCUUAAAACAGCAUUAUGAAUUACCGAUGCUUCGUGUGUUAGUGCUUGCCCUUCUAUAGGUAAGUAGAUAGAUCAAAAUAGAACUACAAUAUCUAUAGUCCAGAAUGUGUUUGUGUAACAUCCAUGUGGUUUUCUUGUUGGUGCAUUUAUUGUGAGCUAUUCAAAAACAUUUAAUUAUG